GUUAGGCCACCCUACAUUCCAUGGCACUCCAGAGGGCAGCGGGGCCCACACUUUAUUUCAACAUGAAUCUUGUUGUAGCUGGGUAAUGAUGUCUGAAGCUGCUGACGUUCUUUGGAACCCCAGGAGGCCAAAUGGAGAUCAGUCAUUAAAGCACAUCAGGAAAGACCUUUGGUUGGCACCAGCUCCUUGGGCAUCAAUUUGAGAGAAUUUUAUAACUCCGAAGAAUAAAGCCUCCAAUCUUUCCAAAUUUCAUGCUCAGAGGAAUACAUGACAGCUGACGCUCAGCACAGUGUACCUUGUGUACUGUCCCAUCCAUCCCACUCAGCUCCGGCAGGCUGUUAGCAGUGCUCGGAUGAUGAACCCCAUCUUGCAUUGCUGUUUCUGAUUGCUGUAGAGCCCUAGAGCUGCACCCCAGCCUCAGGGAGCCUGCAAUCUGCCUGCUGCUAAAUAAAGGCAAGUACCAAGUCAUGACACCCACUGCUGCCCUGUGGUCCAGACCCUACUCAGGUUUUCUACAGCAACCUCGGGGCAGACAUCAGAAUGCUGUAAAGAUGUGAGUCACUUCUGCUCCAUAUGAUGGAGAAUCCUGUCAAAAAGAACCCACUGUCUAUUAAAGUAGGAAGCUUCCUAAAGCUUUCCAACAACACAGCAUGCCUUAAGAGAAUCAAAUGACCCCUGAAUCACAUUGGUGUGUCCUGAAGCAGCGGGGUACUGAGUGGGCAGUAGGAAUGGCAAUAAAAGGUGCAUAAUCUGUAGAGAAUUUAGAGGUAGGCACAGGGUACAAUAGAUAGUGGUACAAUAGAUAGUGUUUUGGUACUGUCAGGUACCAAAACAUAGACGGAAGUAAAAAGUUCUAGUGUUUCUCAGCAUGACAGAUGACUAUAGUUCACAAUAACCUCUUAUAUCUUUCAUGGAUAACUAGAAGGGGCACAAAGCCUCCAAACACAAAGGUACUGAUAAGGAGAUGAGUCCAUUAAUUACACUGACUUGGUCAGUACAUAUUAUAUACCUGUAUUGAAAUAUCACAUUGUACCUCAUAAAUAUGUACAAUAUUUACUGUACAUGUGAAAUUAUCAUUUACAAUUUUUUUAAUGUUUAAGGUGGUGGAAAUGCUAACUACCUUGU